AACAGUUAACCCCUUUAGCUUUCCCUCACUUUUCCCUUAGCCUUUUCCUUUUCCUUUGUUUUGAUGUACUGGUCAAUAGUAAGUAAUUUUAAUGUGUGAUUUGAUAUUGUCUCAAGAAAAUUGUUCAGUUUAUUGAUGAGUAUUAAACUCAAAUGCUGAGCCUCUAAUAUCUGUGCUUUUACCUUUGUGUCAUCAUUGUGCUUGAAAUUUAAUCAAAGUGAACUGUUCUGAGAUCUAAAUACAAUAUCCACAACCUAAACAUUUACCAGAACAAGAAAUCACAGGCUACUGGAAAGUGAACCAAUGAAAAUCGAUCGUUAUAAGGAAAGGCGAAGCUUAUUCCCAUGCCUAAUAGCUGAAAGAUUUUGCAGCGAAAAGUUUUUCUGGCAUUACUUCUAAAACUCAUGAGGUCAAAAAUCGUUCAAAAGAUUGAAAUUGCAAAUUUUUCUGUGAGAUUUUUGAUGUUAUAAGAAAUUUAUUAUGAAUUUUAUCGAAAGAUUAAAGAAGUUCAAUCGAUAAUUGAUUGAGACAUAAGGGAAUUGAUAGAGAAAAGCAAAAGGCGAAAUAAUUUUAACCUGUCGACAUUCAAACUGCAUGACUUUGACUGAAAGUAUUCAACGGAAAGAAGAGGCAAAAAUGGGAAAAGAUGAAAAGUAUUUUCAAAUAUUUCUAGAUGAUAUUAAUGAUAAUAAUGAUAACCUUAUCGGUUGGCGAAGUUGAAAGUUGAGUAAACUUAUCAAUUCUGGAAGAAAAAAUAUAAUCAAUAAACUUUCUUGUUCGCAACUUUUAUCAAUGAUUUUCAUUUGGUGUAAAGUUUUGUAUCAACAAUAUUGACUUGAAAUUUAUAUUUAUAUUCAAGUUCAUUCCCUGUAAAGUGAGAGGAAAAAAACUCCCAGUUUUAAUAUUAUUUUGUUUACUUUUUAUAUUAAACCAAAUGAACAACUAAACAACAA